rnacentral:rRNA from 1 species
GGAGGGUGCAAGCGUUGUUCGGAAUCAUUGGGCGUAAAGCGCGUGUAGGCGGCUAUCUAAGUCUGGUGUGAAAGCCCAGGGCUUAACCUUGGAAGUGCACUGGAUACUGGAUGGCUAGAGGACGGGAGAGGGAAGCGGAAUUCCUGGUGUAGGGGUGAAAUCCGUAGAUAUCAGGAGGAACAUCUGUGGCGAAGGCGGCUUCCUGGCCCGUUUCUGACGCUGAGACGCGAAAGCGUGGGGAGCAAACAGGGAUUAGAUACCCUGGUAGUCCACGCCCUAAACGAUGGAUACUAGACGUCGGAAUUCCUAAUAGUUUCGGUGUCGCAGCUAACGCAUUAAGUAUCCCGCCUGGGGAUUACGGUCGCAAGAUUA